rnacentral:lncRNA from 1 species
GUUGGUUGUUUAGACAUCUCUAUCUCCUCCCUCUUGUCCAUAUUUAGACAUGGAUGUUUCCUCCUUCUUUUGUCCAAAAAUUGGAUAAAAUUUUUACAUCUCUAUUAUAGAGAUUUGGUGCAUGGAUUUUAUGAAGAAAAGAGAAAAAAGAAUUCUUCUCAUGAUCUCUAGUAUAGAGAUCAAAAUUCUCCUACAUCUUCUUGUUCUCUAAGAGUAUCUUAGGAGAAAAAAAGAUUUUCAACCAUCAAGAUACGAUCUCUAUAAGAGAGCUAGCACCCCAGUG